UGGGAAACGUUCUCUCUGUAAAAAUAAAGUACUACGUUUAAUAUAUGCAUAUGUUCUUUAUAUAACUUUACAUAAAUAAUUAUAAUUAUGGCCAUUUAAUAUUCAGGAUAUAGAUCCCAAAAGAGCCCCAUUUUGUAUGUCAUCCUCACAACCUUUUACAUUAAAAUGUGCUUUUGCUAAAUUAUUUGAUGUGAUCUGAGAUGCUGUAUUAGAGCCUAUGUAAGCUAUCAUAAUUUUAAGCUAGGAGCUCACAUUAUGAUAUUAUGGCCCCUAUAAAGCACAUUUCUAUUUCCACUCCUUUUGUGAAACUAUAGUUUCCGCAAAAAUUGUAAAAUUACUGAAAUACAUUUAACCUACUCUUCAAAGGGUAUCUUUUGUCUGGAACAAAAACUUAGUACUAAGAUAUUGCAUUAAUUGUAAAAAUCUGAAUAGAGGUGUUCAUCCCCUCUUCAAAGGAUGUGGAAAGUUAUUCUCAGAUUUAAUUUCUUUUUUAUGAUGAAAUCUAUUUUUUUGGCUUUUAUCCAUUUAUACACUAUCAUAUGAAAACGUAGUUAUGUUCUUUGUGUAUAUAAUUAUUUUCUGUAUGGAAGCAAUCCCUUUCAUGGUACAUAUUUCAAUUAUCUGCUGAUAAAUUUCGUUUUAUUUUCACUCAAACAAAAAAGUGCCUUUAUGCAAUCUUUACAAUAAUAUUUUUAAAAGGCUUGAUUGCUGGGUGCAGUGGUGCAAUCAUGGCUCGCUGCAACCUCCGCCUCCCAGGUUCAAGCAAUUCUCCUGCCUCAGCCUCCCAAGUAGCUGGGAUUACAGGCGUGUGCCACCACAUCUGGCUCACGCCGGUAAUACCAUUUGGGAGACUGAGGCGGGCGGAUAACCUGAGGUUGUGAGUUCAAGACCAACCUGACGAACAUGGAGAAACCUCAUCUCUACUAAAAAUACAAAAUUAGCCAGGCAUGGUGGUGCAUGCUUGUAAUCCCAGCUGCUUGGGAGACUGAGGCAGGAUUAUUGCUUGAACCUGGAUGGCGGAGGUUGCGGUGAGCUGAGAUUGCACCAUUGCACUCCAGCCUGUGCAACAAGAGCGAAACUCCAU
rnacentral:lncRNA from 1 species